rnacentral:rRNA from 1 species
AGAGAGAGACAUGCGCGCAUAUCAAUAAGCGGAGGAAAAGAAACUAACUAGGAUUCCCUUAGUAACGGCGAGUGAAGCGGGAAGAGCUCAAAUUUGAAAUCUUCAAGGUUCUACCUUGACGAAUUGUAGUUUAAAGAAGUGUUUUCUGUUGGAAUUUUGGUAAAAGUUCUUUGGAAAUAGGACAUCCAUAGAGGGUGAGAAUCCCGUAUUUGACCAUUAUUUCCAGCUUUGUGAUACACUUUCAAAGAGUCGGAUUGUUUGGGAACGCAGUCCAAAAUGGGUGGUAAAUUUCAUCUGAAGCUAAAUAUUGGCGAGAGACCGAUAGCGAACAAGUACCGUGAGGGAAAGAUGAAAAGAACUUUGAAAAGAGAGUUAAACAGUACGUGAAAUUGUCAAAAGGGAAGCGUUUGACACCAGUGUUGUUUUUCCGAAAAUCAAUUAAAAGAUGUUUGAUUUUUGUAUGAGUUAUGACUUCAUCAGCUUUGCACUCCUUUCUUAUGUACUUUCUUAAUGCACUUUUCGUUAACAAGUCAACAUCAAUUUCUUUUGUUGUAAAAGAGUACAUGGAAGGAUGGCUUUCUUUUCGGAGAAAGUGUUUAUAGCCUUGGACUUCUGCAAUCGGAGAGAUUGAGGUCUGCAGCGUAGAUCCUUCGGGGUUAGAUACACUUGUGCUAAGUUAUAGCUUUCAUAGACAACUUGUUGAUUAUGAUUAGUCAUUGUAGCUUACUCGCUUAUGCUAUUUUACCUACGCUUAGGAUGUUGACAGCAGUAUAGACUGU